CGUUAACAUUACCACUUUCUUACUUACACCACAGCACUUCUGCUAACCUUUCGUCUUCAAUUUCCCUUUGGAUUUCAUUCAUUAGAUGGAUUCGAGUUGAGGACAUCAAGAAUUCGAUUAUUUGUUUAAGUUGUUGAUGAUUGGAGACUCUGGGGUUGGCAAGAGUAGUCUUCUUCUCAGUUUCACCUCCGAUGCUUUUGAAGAUCUCUCCCCCACUAUCGGUGUUGAUUUUAAGGUCAAAUAUGUGACGAUGGGGGGUAAAAAGCUGAAGCUUGCAAUUUGGGAUACUGGUAUUCACUUUGUUGUUAUUCCUUUCAUGAUAACUUUGCUUAUGGAUACUGCUGAAUGGUAGAUAUGGCUGGCAUUCAUGGAGGAUUUUUACAUUGUUAUGGGUGGCAGCCAAUACUAUAUGUGAUUGAUUAUGCUUAUGCUUUUUGAUAAUACAACUGGUCAAGAGAGAUUCAGAACACUGACAAGUUCUUACUACAGAGGGGCACAAGGAAUCAU